UGUUCUAUGUUCUAUGUUCUUCCAGUGGAUUAUUACAAAGCUUCUGCUAAGUGUCUGGACUUGGCCAAUGUAUCUUUUCAGUGUUUUCAGAUUCAAGUGGG